GAUGAACGCUGGCGGCGUGCCUAACACAUGCAAGUCGAGCGAAAGGACCAGUUGCUUGCUUCUCUGAUGUUAGAGGCGGACGGGUGAGUAACAAGCGGACCACCUACUUAUAAAACAGGGAUAACUUCGGGAACUAGGAGCUAAUACGGGCUGAUAUUUUGAGCAGGAUGCUUUAAAGCCGUAAGCCGCUAUUGCGGUCACUUACAGAUGGAUUCGUGGUGCAUUAGCUAGUUGGUAAGGUAAAGGCUUACCAAGGCAACGAUGCAUAGCCGGCCUGAGAGGAGGAUCGGCCACACUGGAACUGAGACACGGUCCAGACUCCUACGGGAGGCAGCAGUAGGGAAUCUUCCGCAAUGGGCGAAAGCCUGACGGAGCAACGCCGCGUGAGUGAUGAAGGUCUUCGGGUCGUAAAACUCUUUUGUUAGGAAAGAACAUAUGUCUAAUUAACUGUGCACAUCAUGACGGUACCUAAACAAAAAGCCACGGCUAACUACGUG
rnacentral:rRNA from 1 species